rnacentral:precursor_RNA from 1 species
CGGGGGGAGGAAUUGACUCGACUUUUUAAAUACAAGUCAGUCUUUUUCUCUCUCCUAU